rnacentral:rRNA from 1 species
AGGACGAACGCUUGCGACGUGCCUAAGAAAUGCAAGUCGAACGAGGCAGCAAUGCCGAGUGGCGAACGGUCGCGUAACACGUGGGCAACCUGCCCUGAAGCGGGGGACAACAACUUGAAAGAGUUGCUAAUACCGCAUGUGAAUCGUGGUGGCAUCACCGAGGAUUCAAAGCCGCAAGGCACUUCAGGAUGGGCCCGCGGCCUAUCAGCUAGUUGGUGAGGUAACGGCCCACCAAGGCUUCGACGGGUAGCUGGUCUGAGAGGACGAUCAGCCGGAUUGGGACUGAGAUACGGCCCAGACUCCUACGGGGGGCAGCAAUUAGGAAUCUUGCGCAAUGGGCGAAAGCCUGACGCAGCGACGUCGCGUGAAGGAUGAAAUCUUUCGGGAUGUAAACUUCUUUUCUGAGGAAGAAACAAUGACGGUACUCAGAGAAUAAGCCCGGCUAACUACGCGCCAGCAGCCGC